rnacentral:lncRNA from 1 species
GUUGUUGCAUCUGUGGGCUUAGAAGUGGUCGUGUCUGAUGGUUUCAGAGUCGUUAUCUUGGUUGUUGCAUCUGUAGGCUUAGAAGUGGUCGUGUCUGAUGGUUUCAGAGUCGUUGGCUUCGUUGUUGCAGCAGUAGGCUUAGAAGUUGUCGUGUCUGAUGGUUUCAGAGUCGUUGGCUUCGUUGUUGCAUCUGUGGGCUUAGAAGUGGUCGUGUCUGAUGGUUUCAGAGUCGUUGGCUUCGUUGUUUGGGUGGGUUUGGCAGUCGUUGUGGGUUUCUGCGUUGUCCGUAU